GAUGAACGCUGGCGGCGUGCCUAAUACAUGCAAGUCGAGCGAACAGACGAGGAGCUUGCUCCUCUGACGUUAGCGGCGGACGGGUGAGUAACACGUGGAUAACCUACCUAUAAGACUGGGAUAACUUCGGGAAACCGGAGCUAAUACCGGAUAAUAUAUUGAACCGCAUGGUUCAAUAGUGAAAGACGGUUUUGCUGUCACUUAUAGAUGGAUCCGCGCCGCAUUAGCUAGUUGGUAAGGUAACGGCUUACCAAGGCGACGAUGCGUAGCCGACCUGAGAGGGUGAUCGGCCACACUGGAACUAAGACACGGUCCAGACUCCUACGGGAGGCAGCAGUAGGGAAUCUUCCGCAAAGGGCGAAAGCCUGACGGAGCAACGCCGCGUGAGUGAUGAAGGUCUUCGGAUCGUAAAACUCUGUUAUUAGGGAAGAACAAAUGUGUAAGUAACUAUGCACGUCUUGAUGGUACCUAAUCAGAAAGCCACGGCUAACUACGUG
rnacentral:rRNA from 1 species